CAGUAGCCACGGUAAUACAGAGGGUGCAAGCGUUAAUCGGAUUUACUUGGCAUAAAGGGCGCGUAGGUGGUUAUUUAAGUGAGAUGUGAAAGCCCCGGGCUUAACCUGGGAACUGCAUCUUAUACUGGGUAACUGGAGUGCAGUAGAGGGUAGUGGAAUUUCCGGUGUAGCGGUGAAAUGCGUAGAUAUCGGAAGGAACACCAGUGGCGAAGGCGGCUACCUGGACUGAGACUGACACUGAGGCGCGAGAGCGUGGGGAGCAAACAGGAUUAGAUACCCCCGUAGUCCCUGUCUCUUAUAC
rnacentral:rRNA from 1 species